rnacentral:tRNA from 1 species
CAAAAUAGAGUUUGAUAAAACAUUUCGUUUACACUGAAAAAUUUCUUUAGAAGAUAUUUUGA